GAGUUUGAUCCUGGCUCAGGACGAACGCUGGCGGCGUGCUUAACACAUGCAAGUCGAGCGGUGACCCUCCUUCGGGGGGUGAUCAGCGGCGAACGGGUGAGUAACACGUGGGCAACCUGCCCCUCACACUGGGAUAACCUCGGGAAACCGGGGCUAAUACCGGAUACGACCUCGAGCGGCAUCUCUUGAGGUGGAAAGCUCCGACGGGUGAGGGAUGGGCCCGCGGCCUAUCAGCUUGUUGGUGGGGUAAUGGCCUACCAAGGCGACGACGGGUAGCCGGCCUGAGAGGGCUACCGGCCACACUGGGACUGAGACACGGCCCAGACUCCUACGGGAGGCAGCAGUGGGGAAUAUUGCGCAAUGGGCGAAAGCCUGACGCAGCGACGCCGCGUGAGGGAUGAAGGCCUCGGGUUGUAACCGUCUUUCUAGCAGGACGAAGCGAAGUGACGGUACCUGCAGAAGAAGCACCGGCUAACUACGUGCC
rnacentral:rRNA from 1 species